rnacentral:rRNA from 1 species
ACGAAGGGGGCUAGCGUUGUUCGGAUUUACUGGGCGUAAAGCGCACGUAGGCGGACUAUUAAGUCAGGGGUGAAAUCCCGGGGCUCAACCCCGGAACUGCCUUUGAUACUGGUAGUCUUGAGUUCGAGAGAGGUGAGUGGAAUUCCGAGUGUAGAGGUGAAAUUCGUAGAUAUUCGGAGGAACACCAGUGGCGAAGGCGGCUCACUGGCUCGAUACUGACGCUGAGGUGCGAAAGCGUGGGGAGCAAACAGGA